ACAAAGUUUGAUUCUUUCUUGAGUUUUUACGUAUUUACUGAAAUUGCAUGAGAAUCGUAGUAUGUAUUGAUUACUGUCUUUAAGAGAAGUUGAGUGAAUAAGUAGAAUAAUAAUUGUCGAUAAAAAGUAAAUUCUCAGCAUAUAUUAUUAAAUAAUUUAAGAAAUUAAGAAUUAGUAUAUAAAUAUAGAUCUGACAAAAUAUUGUGCCAGCAAUCGCGGUUAAACUUUAAGGUCAAGUAAAAAUUAAAUAUUAUUUAGUUAAAUAUAAGUGAAUUCAAUUGUAAAAUUGCUUAAAGGUUCGGAGGUGAAAUCAAAGACUUUAGAGUUAAUAAUGUGGAUAAAAAUUGAAGCUAUAAAAAUUUAGAUUUAAACUAGGAUUAGAUACCCUAUUAUACUAAAAAUUAAUCUUUUAAAAUUGAUUAUUAUUAGAUAUGUACUUGAAAUUUGAAGAAUUUGGCGGUAGUUUAGUCUUGUUAGAGGAACCUGUUUUAUUAAAUCGAUAAACCGCGUAAAAUCUUGCUUCUUUUUGUCACGCAGCUUAUAUACCGUCAUUAACAGAUAAUUUUACGAGAAUUAAUUGUUGAAGUUUGUAAAAUGUAAAUAAAAUUAGAUCAAGGUGUAGUCUAUAAAGAAGUUAAAAUGGGUUACAAUAAAAUUUGCUUAAACGUAUUUGUAAAGUAAGAAUUUAUAAUGAAGGAGGAUUUAAUUGUAAUUAUAAAUUAAUACAUUAUAAUGAUAUAUAGCACUAAAUUAUGUACAUAUUGCCCGUCGCUUUCAUUCAAAGAUGAGAUAAGUCGUAACAUAGUAGGUUUAUUGGAAAUUGAACCUAGAUUGAU
rnacentral:ncRNA from 1 species